CCGGGACGUCACGCCGCCUGUCUGUUUUCUCAAUGGUAACUUGGCAGGAGAAGGGGGAAGCGGCCGGGUUUUUCCUGGGCUUGUUACCGGGGCUGCGGAGCAUCUAUUCUGAAAGCAGGACGUUUUACGUUAAAGAGCGAGCCGAGGCCUGCAGUCAGCACUGAACUCAGUGUGACCAGCGUGCACGCUAUGAGCCGCAUUAGGAGUGAUGGGGGAUUACUCUUCCAGUGAGGAAAGUGUCUUUAACCUGAGACGAUGGCACAACAUGCACAAGAGGAUAUCUCAGCACACAGCCAAUGCAAUGAAACGAAGGAUCCUCUAUGGGAAUUGGUUAGUAGUGCCAAUGUUUAAUAUUUGUCAUAAUAACCACCAACUGUUUUGUUUUUUGUUCUAACAAUGUGAAUUAUGCAUUAAACAUU